AUGGUCAAAGCAUGCUGAAAACACUGGUUCUCUUUAGAUAACUAAAGUUAAGCAGUGUUGAGCCCAGUCUGUACUUAGAUGGGGGACCACUUCUGAAAACAGGAUACUGUA